GUGGCAUAAUGACCAGAAGGGUCUGUUUUAUAGAUUGUGUUCCAGAGACUUUUUUGUUGGAUUUAAACUGCAGGUUCCCUCACCCCACUGGAGAAGAAGACUGGAAUUGCUGCAAGCUGUGCAGCUUGCAGACCGUUGUUGCAGAGACUCAAAGGGAGUUUGAAGGAGAUUGUAGAACUAACACUUGUUUCCCAGCAUUAAGGAGCUGAUGUGCCUUGCAGAGAGGUUGGACGCUAUUCCCCAGAAACAGAGAAGGAUAAAUCCUCCCAGAAAAGAGUCCUAGAGGAGUCUCCUUGAAUCUGUGCUAGGCAGCGUGAGCUAGAGGAAUGAGCACAGGAGCAUCUGGCUCUGUCACUGACUCUCUGCGUGGCCUUGGUUGAUAAUGGCUGUAUCUCCUGGAAACACUGACAGGGAUUCUGUUGAAUCAGCACUUUCUGCCUAUUGGAAUCUGGAUAUAGAAAAAAGAGAGGCAGAAAUAGGAUGGGACACUGAGAGAGAUUCUGGAGUCUGAGUCACCACAGUCUGUCCACUGGAACCUGGAGAGAGAAGAUGAAAACUGGCAGUUUGGUAAAUGGGAAAAUGGCAUUAACAUUGUUCAAAGCUUUGCAUUGAAACACCUGUAAACUGAACAGGAAAAGUGAACUAGAAAAUAUACGUGGGACUGUAUUUAAAUAAAUAACCCACGGCCGUU